UUCGCCCUUAGAGUUUGAUCCUGGCUCAGGAUGAACGCUGGCGGCGUGCUUAACACAUGCAAGUCGAACGAAACACCUUAUUUGAUUUUCUUCGGAACUGAAGAUUUGGUGAUUGAGUGGCGGACGGGUGAGUAACGCGUGGGUAACCUACCCUGUACAGGGGGAUAACAGUCAGAAAUGACUGCUAAUACCGCAUAAGACCACAGCACCGCAUGGUGCAGGGGUAAAAACUCCGGUGGUACAGGAUGGACCCGCGUCUGAUUAGCUGGUUGGUGAGGUAACGGCUCACCAAGGCGACGAUCAGUAGCCGGCUUGAGAGAGUGAACGGCCACAUUGGGACCGAGACACGGCCCAAACUCCUACGGGAGGCAGCAGUGGGGAAUAUUGCACAAUGGGGGAAACCCUGAUGCAGCGACGCCGCGUGAGCGAUGAAGUAUUUCGGUAUGUAAAGCUCUAUCAGCAGGGAAGAUAAUGACGGUACCUGACUAAGAAGCCCCGGCUAACUACGUGCCAGCAGCCGCGGUAAUACGUAGGGGGCAAGCGUUAUCCGGAUUUACUGGGUGUAAAGGGAGCGUAGACGGCAAGGCAAGUCUGAUGUGAAAACCCAGGGCUUAACCCUGGGACUGCAUUGGAAACUGUCUGGCUCGAGUGCGGUAGAGGAAGGUGGAAUUCCCAGUGUAGCGGUGAAAUGCGCAGAUAUUGGGAAGAACACCGAUGGCGAAGGCAGCCUUCUGGGCCGCCACUGACGCUGAGGCGCGAAAGCUAGGGGAGCGAACAGGAUUAGAUACCCUGGUAGUCCUAGCCGUAAACGAUGGGCACUAGGGGGGGGGGGGGCUGACCCCCUCCGUGCCGCAGCAAACACAAUAAGAAAACCACUUGGGGAAUAGGACCACAAGGUUAAAACUCAAAGGAAUUGACGGGGGCCCGCACAAGCAGUGGAGUAAGGGGUUUAAUUCGACGAAAACGCGAAGAACCUUACCAAGUCUUGACAUCAUGAGAUGCACAUAGAAAUAUGUGUUUCCUUCGGGACGCAGAGACAGGUGGUGCAUGGUUGUCAUCAGCUCGUGUCGUGAGAUGUUGGGUUAAGUCCCGCAACGAGCGCAACCCUUACUGUCAGUUACUACGCAAGAGGACUCUGGCAGGACUGCCGUUGACAAAACGGAGGAAGGUGGGGAUGACGUCAAAUCAUCAUGCCCUUUAUGACUUGGGCUACACACGUACUACAAUGGCGUUAAACAAAGAGAAGCAAGACCGCGAGGUGGAGCAAAACUCAGAAACAACGUCCCAGUUCGGACUGCAGGCUGCAACUCGCCUGCACGAAGUCGGAAUUGCUAGUAAUCGUGGAUCAGCAUGCCACGGUGAAUACGUUCCCGGGCCUUGUACACA
rnacentral:rRNA from 1 species